rnacentral:rRNA from 1 species
GACGAACGCUGGCGGCGUGCCUAAUACAUGCAAGUCGAACGCUUUUUCUUUCACCGGAGCUUGCUCCACCGAAAGAAAAAGAGUGGCGAACGGGUGAGUAACACGUGGGUAACCUGCCCAUCAGAAGGGGAUAACACUUGGAAACAGGUGCUAAUACCGUAUAACACUAUUUUCCGCAUGGAAGAAAGUUGAAAGGCGCUUUUGCGUCACUGAUGGAUGGACCCGCGGUGCAUUAGCUAGUUGGUGAGGCAACGGCUCACCAAGGCAACGAUGCAUAGCCGACCUGAGAGGGUGAUCGGCCACACUGGGACUGAGACACGGCCCAGACUCCUACGGGAGGCAGCAGUAGGGAAUCUUCGGCAAUGGACGAAAGUCUGACCGAGCAACGCCGCGUGAGUGAAGAAGGUUUUCGGAUCGUAAAAACUCUGUUGGUAGAGAAGGACAAGGAUGAGAGUAA